GCGUAUCGGUCACGUCGUUGCGACGAUCGUUCACUAAAAAUCCCAUGGAGCACGGGACUUGUCUUCAACACACACUCACGACGCCCGUGCUUGUCUUCAUGAUAAUAAGAAGCUUCUCUACACUUGGACAAAUUUUCCUGACACCCUGGAGGAGGUAACCGAAGGACACAGAAGACGGAACCACGCCGAGGAUUCAAGGUGUUUUCAACCGCAUUUCGGACGCAGAACUCACUACUGCUGCCGCUACUGCUGCUGCUGCUGCUGCUGCUGCUGCUACUGUUGCUGCUUCUUCUGCUGCUGCUGCUACAAAAACGGAAUUGUACUUGUUCUAUCGAUGACGGGAGGGUCAGCACAAUUACGUUUCUGCCGGCUUCCUUAUCUACCGGAUAUCGGCAUCGCUUACACUUGAACGGCUUCGAAACUUCAUCCAAUGCUGCGAAUUGCAUCCAGAAAACAGCUGGCCACGUGAACGAAGGUCGCCGGCCAUGGAAUAUAAUUAGUCCUCUACUUAUGGAACGUCAGGCCAGUCAGCUUUGGGUCCACUGAAACGGUUCGCAACAAAACGGUUUACUUGGGAAAGGCCUUUGUGCAAACACGUGCGGCCAUGGUCAGCGUUUAUUUCCUUCUUGGACGAGGCUCAGCUAUGCAUGGAAAACUGGGAAAUGCCCCGAAGGCCGGUUGGUCUAGGAAAAUCUUUCAAGGGUAAUUAUGUUUUACUACGAAACCUAAGUAUAUAUUUGGUUCAUGGAUUUUCCUGCUCCUUCAUUUAUGGUAACUGCAUACUGCUGACCUUUGUCAUUCCUCUCUGGAUUUUCCAAAUAGAAAACGAGGUCCGUAAAAAAAAAAUGCUAUAACUGACAACACACUGUAGUUCCUGAUGUAUUAAAUCAAGCCUUGUAAGAUUCUUUUCUAAACAAGAGUAGAAAAUUUUCUGAUUAACCGUCUCGCUUAAUUGGAUUUUUUUUCCUUUUUUACUCGGUCUAGGUUCAUUGGAGGACGUUCGGUAAUCGUAAAAGCAAUGUAACAAAACGGCUCGGAAGUUCAUUAGAGUAAAACCACCGAUGCAAGUAAUUGAAGUAUCUUCCCGGUUAAUUAUGAAGUGAUUAAUUGUAGCAGGAUUUUUCAGUAGCUCGUAGAUUAUCGAGAGGCACGUGAAUAUUCUGCCGAACGUUUAAUGCUCGCAGAAACGCAGAGCAGGAUUCUUUUAAAAUUUUUUCAGACAAUUCGUUUUGCGACGGAUAGGGGACGACGAAAAAGAAGUGGUCGGGGAGAAGAAGGGGCGGCAGCGAGAAGCAAUUCCUCCGGACAAUUCGAGACGGAGGCCUAGGUAUUCUUUUUAAGGCGGAACACUCCGCCGCUGCUCGUUGCACGCUGGUAAUGGGGAAUCAUCCCCCAGCAGUCUCCAGGAAUUAAUUCGAGGCUAAUGCCGCUCCCCGAUAUCGAAUCACUCGCGAACCGGUGUUAGUAUCUGCUUACCACCCUCUCGGUUAGCUGCUCGCCGUACUUGCAUUUCUGCUCUCCUACCUUUCCCCCGCGAAACGUUUUCUAAUUUACCCUCUAAUUUGCGCCGCGAUCCUCGAAUCCGUAUCACUGGGUCAUUAAAAAAAAAGAAGCAGAAUAAAUAGAAGAUCCUGUUCCUGUCUCCUUUCUGCCGCCGCGCUUGGCAACGGCACGCGUUUGGUCCUCGUCGCGUAGUUGGCUACGAUUUUCGCCAUCAAUUGUGUACUUAAACCAACGUAGUAACCCUUUAUUGCCAGAAACGCGGUCUCCAAGAUGAAAAGCGAACUCCUGGCGAGUAUCCACCAGAAUUAAGAGUCACUCGAGGCGCUUUUUAAUUAGCCCGAAGGGACAUCAUCAGGAAGAGGCAGCUUCGGUCUAAAUACGUAAUUAAAAUCGCGGACGUGGUAGUAACCACGGAAAACAUAAUCGAGUACGAGCGACAAGUCGCCGGAAAGCGCAAAUUUCCACGUCGUUCCUACAUUCUUUGUUCAUUCUGAAACUUGCAAUUUGGAAUAGCGGGCGUCAAAUCUAUUAAAUUGUAGCAUUUAAAAAUUGUUCUUCAAUGGAGUCCGUUUCUUAUCUUAUCAGUCGUUUCGCGGCUAAUCAUAUUUUCUUCCAUAAGCAAAAUUCUAAAGUCUCCACAGGAAAGUUCACAAGUUUUCUGAAGCAUCUUUGAAAAUGAACGCACGAGGCUCGCGUAAAGGAGACGGAAUGAGAGAGCAACAGAAUAAGAUAGACAGAAAGAAGGGAGAGAGGGAACAGUGGAGAAGAGAAUGAGCGAACAUGAGAGCCGAGAGAGAGUGAGAAACUAAAAGAUGGCGCCACGUGCGUAAACCCGACGGAGACCAGAAGCGAGUACCAGAAGAUGAGAGAAAGAGACGGCAUCAUCACUUCCUUCCCCCUCACCAGCACGAAAUACGGUCGGACUGCAACGUCCGAAUCCGAUCAUCGUCAGAUCGCUCAGUAGUGCGCGAGACGCAUUUCGUGACGCGUGUUCUUCAUUGCGUUGCGGCGCCCGAGGAAACGUGGAGCCAACACGCGAAGAGGAAUUACCUACUCGGUACAUCUCUCGGAGUGGAAACGAGACGCGCGCGGACCCAAGCCAACCAGCAGCCGGGCGACGUAACACGGGGAGAGAGAAACUGGGAGAGGGUGAACUACAGGGUAUUUUGGACGCAGAUCGAUCGGUCGCUCUCCGGUUCGCGCCAUGUGACCGGUCAAAGACCAGUCUGCAUACACGGUGUGUAGAACGUAGAGGCGGUCGUCAGGGAGCUUCUUCAUUGUCUCUCUUUGUGCGGUAGUCGCGUGGUGGUAGUGCGUUCGUUCCAUCUAUUGGAAAAUAAGAUUUGUCGGAGCGGUGGUGGUGUCGUCGGCAGUAGCGCGCGAACCAUCGAAUGGGAAGGUCCGUUUUUCGAGGAUAGUUGCCGGGCGGCGAGAGUAUUUUAUGCAUGCAUGUAUGCACCGUAUUGUGGAUGUGGGAAUUCUGGGAGAAUAUAAUCGCGAGGGAAAACAGAGGGCAUAUACGGUGAGGUUUGUGCCACGGGAGAGUGUCGUUGUCUUGGGUCAGAUGUAAAAAUAAAAAGGAAGCAGACGUGUGUCUCAAGGCUAUCGGGUCGCAUAUUGUCUCAACCAGGGGCGUAAAUCACGGGCUCAUCACCCAUCAUCCACAUUCUGGUACGAAUGCACGCGCGUAUUUUUUUUAUUAUAAUUCCAUUGUCGUUUAUCCCAUAAAACGUAUCAUACUAAUACUUAAACUCUUGAGACGUACAUGUCUCGUCCAUUGGACGUAGCCAAAAAAUCUUUACCCCGCGCGAAUAUGACGAAACUGUUCAUCGCUUGCCAAGCGGUACGGCUUUUCAUUCGUUUUCGAUUCCGUAUUUUAUGUGUACAAUCGCUCUCCAAGAACCGACAACAGAAGCAUAUCGGCUAAGAUCAAACGAGAAGGUCGGUCGCGCGUAAAAUUCUCUGAGGUUCGUUUUGGAAGGGUCCGACCAACUCGAAGGAACAUAAACAUCCGUGUGGUGUGCGGCAGCAUUCUCUUGCCCCGUACAUUGUUACAGUUUUGUCUGAGGAUCGGUUGCGUCAAAGUUAGAGAUCGCGUGCAGAGAACGUUUAUUUGAUUCUGACCAUACGAUGUGCGUAGGUUUUCGUGAAAUAUUUGUUUCAAGGAGAAUUCCCAUACUAAUGUUAGCUUUUCAUAACUCGCUCCGAAACACGUGUGCUCGGACCACGUGUUUUCUCUACGGUGCUUCUGAGCGAACCCUCGGCGUCGUGUAUAAUUAUUAUUAAUUUUUUUCAAAUAGGUUUUCCUUCAUCGAUGAAAUCCAUUGAAAUCAUCUGCGUUCAGAAUUCAAUGCCGAAACUUAAACAUUUUGCUUAAUCGAGAAAGAAGCAUUUAUGAUUAUUUAAUAAAAUAUAUAAUUGUUUCUUCAUUUCAUAAUUUAAUUUUGAAAAUUGAGACAUAAUAACGUAGUUUUUUUUUUAAUCUGCAUUCUAAACGGUUUCAUACUGUUAAAGUAAAUCUAGGUCUUAGGAGGCAAGGUAUCACGUAACUUUCGAUAGAUAACGUGUAGUUAUCUAGCACAACAGAAUUCGUCUGCUGAAGCCUUGAAAACUUUCGAUUAACUUAGAGAACGAAGUGCAGUGACGCUGAGACAUUUAAUUUAUAUCUGCUAUUAUAUUUAACAUUGUUAUUCGCCUUUUACUAUCUUCAAAAUUUACUUGUAAUUGUAUCGUAACUUCUCUCGGGUUAACAAUAUGAAUGAAGUUUGCUAUAAAGUUUAAAAUCAGUAAAAAAAUUUAAGUGGCGAAGUAGAACGCACUGGACGCUCAGCUACUGAUUUCUGAAUUCACUGCUGCUGACGCAAAACAAUGAGAUCGAUAUCAAUUAAGUCAAGUCGGGCCGUUGAUCGCUGGAAACCCCAUAAAAAGCAAUCUCUUUACAGGGUUACAUGUAUACCCGGUUUUUCCGAGAAUGCUUAACAGGAAACCUAUUGAACGAUUUUUUUGUCUAACUCACAAACUACUAUUUAUUUCUGAUCUAUGAAGGGCCAAUUGAAAUUUCUUCAUCCAAGGAUACAAUAGUUUCCUUUCUUCUUCAAGUGUAUACAUUUUAUAUCAUUCUUUUACAUUUCCAAUUUCUUGCUUUGAUGUUUUUACUGUAAAAUAUCAAAAAUCAAAUUAUUCGCUUGUGAACAAGAAUUAUUCUUUUGUCCCUUGAGUAAUAUAAAAAUGAUUGAACCAAUAAAAAAGCGAGGCAUUGGAAUCUCCGAGGCUUCGGUGACAUGCAAGGUGAACGCGAGUCCGUGUUAAUCCACUGGUUUCUGAGGAUUAUAUAUGCAGCUCGCGGACUCCACGGUCGUGAAUCCCUGUAGGCAUCGAAAAUGAAAAAAAAACUGGCUAGUCUGGACCAAGGUUAGAAGAUUGCGUUGAAUAAUAGCCACACAAGCUUGAUUCAGUGCCGUGCAAAAGUCGAGGAGAUCGCGAGGGGUGACGAGAUCUAUUUCUGUCGAAACAAGUUAGAAGUAGGAAGCAAGCGUGAGGAGAACGAAACGCCUAGUUGACAUCGCUACUAGGGUACAAAUUCAUGAGGCGUUUUAAUAGUUGAGCCAACAAGUCAAUGUUCCCCCAUUAUAAAAGUUCACUUUUUAAACUCAUGCAUUUUUAUUAAUUGUUUAUAGUUUAUGAAUUAUAAUUUGUUUCGUCUUGGAGGAAAUCUUAGCGAUACCGAACGUCAUGUUAUCUGUUUAUUUGUAAAGGUAUCGCGAUAAUUAAGCACUCUGUUGCGUUUCUCUUAUUACCAAUCCACGAUACUGUCUCUCGUACAUUCUCUCGAUAUACAUAUUUCUCGCUAUCUUUCUUAUUGUUUACGUCUCAAUAUAUCUGUAGAAGCAACAGGAGAGCGCUACGUCUUCAUAAACGAUAAGCCUGUUCUUGAAUACAGGAAGAAGUUAUCUUUUGCUGUUUUCCGCUAUCGAACCGGCUUAUCGGCAUAGGAAAGCCGUUGAUAUUUACCGAGUAACCGAUAAUUCAGUUACAUCUCACUUGGCUCGUUGUGCUCUGGACACGCGUGACUCACUGGCGUGACUCAAGGGACGGAAAUCUUGUUUGUCGAAAAAGCGCAGACCUUUUUCAACGCGUCUCUUCGAUGUUCGAUAUCUCCUCUUCCAACCGUUGUCCGCGUCCCUUCGAGGAAAGAAACUCGCAGACAAAGUACAGCCUGUUCAACAGAACUCUUAUCUUCCGAUAAAUCACUUCGCUUGAGACAAAUUAUACAGUACCCGCGAGUAGAUUAUUAAAGAUUUCUAAUCUUCCUUUUUAUAUUUUCAGAUAUCGUGUGGAGCGUUUAUACUUCAGAUUAUACUUGCUCUUAAUUUUCAAAUACGUAAACAAAUCCGAAUACCCAGAGUAGUGCGUACUGAAUAAGAACAUAUCUUUUGUAUUACCACAAUCUUAAUAAGCUUCAGUGUUUAAAGUUUUCGUCGAUGUUGCGAGACAAACUGUCACGAGAAUCCGUCGCGCGUGCUAGCUCGACACAUUUCAUGUAAUCAGGGUACAAACAGAAAUUUCUCCGACGAUUAGAUAAAACAAUGUGAUAAAGCACGAGUACUGCUUAGUACGGAAACAGAUUGUCAAUUACUUGCAUCUCCUAUCGAUACUCCUAAUUCAUUCGAUCGAACAGAAGAAAAGAAGAGGAGGAAGCAUAGAAACAAAAGUGGAAAAAACAGAAUCGAUAUCACUGGAGGGAAACUACGAUUAGGGCUAGAUACAAUAGUAUUCGUUUUCAGGAUCUACAGGAAAAUGGAACAUGUAGCGGACAUGGUGGAGCGUGAACGAGUUUUUGGUAGCUUCGAGUCUAAACAUUUCGUGCCCAAAGCCCCUUAUCAUUCUCCUGUCCGGUGUAGGAUUGUUAGACGACUGGACGGAGAACUGAUAAGGGCCCGAGGGUCACAGAAUCAUCGUGGGGCAUGUGAGACCAUUGUGGACGACAGCUGUGGACCUUCAUCAAUAUCAAGAAUUUCUUUCGAAUUUUCUGUAAUCUUUUGUGUGCACAAUAAAUAGUUUUGAAAUAUA